CAGAUGCAUCAAUAUUGGACAAUUGAUUUUGAACACAUUUAAAUCCAGAGCGGAUUUUAUCGGCCAAGUAAAUGCAACGACGGGAGCAGAAAAUACAUUCCAGCAGAUGAGAGAAAGGAGCAUAAAAUGUGCAUUAUGGCUGAAAAAAUUCGGUGUUCAACGCAAUGACGUUAUAAUAGUGUAUUCUCACAAUCAUUUUAAUACUUAUAUACCAUACUUAGCGACUCUGUAUAUCGGGGCUAUUUUAUCUGUAUGGCAUGAAAGUCGAAUAAGUAAGUAAAUUUUUUUCUGAAUUUCUGUUUUAUUUAUUAUUAUGACAAUAUACAUGUAUGUGUAUAUAUACUAUCCCUUAAUUCGCCACUUUACGUAUAAUUGGUCGAUCAAAGUUAUGCCAGCGAGUUUCUUUAUCGAGCGCAUGUGCAUUUCAUCGUUCAGUCUCACGUCAUCUUCAUAUGGACGUAGCAUGCAGACUUGUGCGAAUCACUGGCAGAAUUCAAACUCUGGAACCCGAACCGGGCAUGAAAAACCGGCAUCCGGCAUCAAAAACGCGUGACGCGUAACGUGUCAACAUGUUCAGUAAACGUGGUGCGCUGAUAGUUUUAGAUUGCG